rnacentral:rRNA from 1 species
GGCAUGCAAGUCGAACGAGGAUAUAUCCUUCGGGAUAUAAGCCGAGUGGCACAAGGGUGAGUAAUGCAUAGAUUACCUGCCUUUAGGAUAAGGACAACUUUGUGAAAACGAAGCUAAUACUUAAUAAUACAAAAGAAAUAAUUUUCUUUUGUCAAAUGGAGGGUAGCAAUACCUUUCGCCUGGAGAGGGGUUUAUGUCCUAUCAGCUUGUUGGUGGGGUAAUGGCCUACCAAGGCGAAGACGGGUAGCCGGUUUAAGAGGAUGGUCGGCCACACUGGGACUGAGACACUGCCCAGACUUCUACGGAAGGCUGCAGUCGAGAAUCUUUCGCAAUGCCCGAAAGGGUGACGAAGCGACGCCGCGUGGGUGAGGAAGGCCUUCGGGUUGUAAAGCCCUGUCAGGAGUUAAGAAAUGUAAGUUCGUUAAUACCGUACUUAUUUGACAAAGGCUCCAAAGGAAGCCACGGCUAACUCUGUGCCAGCAGCCGCGGUAAUACAGAGGUGGCGAGCGUUGUUCGGAAUUAUUGGGCGUAAAGAGCACGUAGGUGGGUUUGCAAGUCAGAUGUGAAAGCCUUCUGUUCAACGGAAGAAUUGCAUCUGAAACUGCUAAUCUUGAGUAUAGGAGGGGAGAAUGGAACUUCUGGUGGAGCGGUGAAAUGCGUAGAUAUCAGAAGGAACGCCGGCGGCGAAAGCGAUUCUCUGGCCUAUUACUGACACUCAGUGUGCGAAAGCUAGGGGAGCAAACGGGAUUAGAUACCCCGGUAGUCCUAGCCGUAAACGAUGGGCACUAAGUAGAGGGGUUUU